AAGCGUGGGAGGAGAGAACAAGCCUCGCAUGUCCAAGCCGCAGGAAUUCCUGACUAUUUUUAAGUGUGAGCGAGCCGCACUCACAACACGACGUUUAAAUAGCUCAGCUUUUCUUCGAGGCUUCGGUAGCUGGGCGUUGACUCUGUUUACGUCGCAAUCUGAGGCAAAGAAAACAACAAACAACAGCUUCCCAAGCCGAUCACUGGGCCCAGUGAGAGGAAGAACCUGGGACAUCGUGUACAGAACAGAGAUCACAGGGGGAUCAGACAAUAGCGUCUUUUUAUUUUUCUUCGGUACAUGAUGGUGAUCCCCCUCCCAAGUCCCCUGUGUUUGAUGCCACACCUGUUCAGUGACUGUCAUGGUUCUGUUGCCAUGGACACAGCAACAUCGGACCUGCGGGGACAAAAGUGGAUGAAGAUCACAAUAGGUGUCCUGUGGAUGAAUGCAUUUUAAUAGAUUAGUGUUCUGCACCAGCUCGGGUCCCUGGGACGAUAAUGCAGACAGGUCCAUUACAUGCUACUCAUCCACCAUGAGCAGUUAGCCUGAUGCUAAUAGGCAUGAUCCACCAUUGUACGCCUUAGCAUUGCACGUGACAUCAGGACAUAAGAAAAUGGAAGAAUUAAAACAUUUUCAUCGUUAAAAGUCACUGGUGAUGAUCCAGCCCCCCCACCAACCCUGAUCAGGAUAAGCAGUUAGGAAACAGGUGAAUAGAAAGAAUUAUGCAAUUAAAGUCUGUACAAAAUCUUAUGCUAAGAGUCAGAGAUAAACAUUGACUUUUUUUGUGGACGUUAAUAAUGACAAAAACAGGGAAAGUAUAUGAUGUUUUGGGUGCUGGCAUUGUGCAGUUGGAGGGUAGAGGGAGACUGGAGUGUGACUUGUGAAUCGUGAGCAGGAAGCAGGCUGUCCUCUUUCAUAAGGGGGCAGGUUUUGUGUCCCACCUUCAACGUUUAUGCUACACGAAUCCUCCUAGGCCGUCCAUCCCCCCGUUAAGCGCUACAUUGUUCUCCAGAUUUCCACGUUGGGUAUCCGACACACCAUCCUCUCUCUGUGCGUGGGACCCGUGACCACAGAGCCACCCCCCCCCCCCACCUCUGGGCCAAUUCCCAUGACCCCAUGCACUUACCCCUUGCCCUCUGCUGGCUGCGGAGGCCACACCCCUCUGCCAGAAGCAGGAUGUUAUCAAAGGUCUCGUCCCUGUUCCUGAGAAGGAUCUAAGUUUGGACAAACAAACAAACGUCACAAAUAGGCCAAGGGGCUUUUAAGUUGACCUUUGUUAUUUUUAGAGAAGGAUUUGACGCAGGGUCAUUGUGUUAACUCUUCUCCUCUAUGGUACACAGACAAGGAGGACAGGUUCCACAAAAAACCCUUUGGAUGCAAAUUCAUCAGAUCACACCAAGUUGAGUGCCUGUGACAUCGGUGUCUCCUCCCUGGCUCCUAACGCUACCAUGAAGUAUGAAAGCUAUCGCUCAGAUGAAGCCGUCAAUCUCGCAUCCCCUGGCAUCUUGCCAUUAAUUCACGCCUUUCCCUCUGCAGGGUAGGUUGGCACUGUCAACAAACAAAACAGCUUAUAGUAUAAAACAUCCAUUUAUUCAAAAGACACAUAGCCUUUGUGAGGAGAGGAAAUGACUAACCUUUCAUUCUGACAAAGAAAAUCCCUAUAAUCAAAUUACACUGAGGCCUACUUUUAAACUUCACAAACAGUAUGACUGGCCUUACAUGUCCGUAACAAUAACCUGUUUUUGACGGCUAAUACACACAAGUAGAUCGCUGAUAAUGAAGCUAAUUGCUGUUGUUUGUAGAGCAGUUUGGAUGUGGAAAUAGGCCUCACUGCCAGCAUUUCACAUUCCAGACUGUACGCUGUUUACAUUGCUUUCAGCAGUAGUCAUGUGACCUGCUUCUACUCCUCCAGAAGGAAUAUUAUGGGCCAAAUGUAAAACAAACUAGACCUUAACUUUCUAUAAACAGAUUUCGCUACCACUGACCCAGGACACGAUGGGAGUUUUGGAUAGGCAUGCCUGCUAUGAAAAUAAGAUAUAAAUAAAAAAUUCAAAUUUCAAGGAAGUAGCAAACUAAUGUGAGACUCAUGCUAUUUUGAUGAACAUGUUAAUCUCACUGUUCUAUAUAAAGUUAGCAGUAAAGCGUAACUCAUUAAUUUUACAAGUGCUGCAGAGAGUAACCUGAGACCCUUUGGGUUCCAUUUCUUUGUAAAGGUUCAAGAACACUGGGCUUGAUGGAAAGUUUUCUCAAGUUCUGGACCGGUUUGCCGGGGUUCUGAGGUUUGAACAUGGUUCUAUAGACAUAAGCUCCUGCCUGAUCUGCUUUCUCAGUCUCACAGACAAACCCAGCAGAAAGUGGAGCUUGCUGAGUUUUCGAGAGACACCCCUACAGCUUUGUGGAAUUUGGAAGGAUGUGGGUAUUUUGAGGGAGGGGGCAAGAUCAGCUGACAAGCCUGAGUAAUCAACAGUAUGAGGUAAAUUUAUUCUGUAAGUUGUAGUGACUGGGAGCAAUGGGCCAUCUGAAGCUGAUUUUGGCCAUUGAGACAGAGAGACAUAGAGCAAAAUGUGUGUUUGUAGUUGAAUCAUUUUGCAUAUCCGUUUGUACCAUUUAAUAAACACUGUUGCUUGGAUGUUCACAA